CACGUAGGGCGCAAGCGUUGUCCGGAAUUAUUGGGCGUAAAGAGCUCGUAGGCGGACUGUCACGUCUGCUGUGAAAAGCUGGGGCUUAACCCUGGCCUUGCAGUGGAUACGGGAAGACUAGAGGUAGGUAGGGGAGAAUGGAAUUCCCGGUGUAGCGGUGAAAUGCGCAGAUAUCGGGAGGAACACCGGUGGCGAAGGCGGUUCUCUGGGCCUUACCUGACGCUGAGGAGCGAAAGCGUGGGGAGCGAACAGG
rnacentral:rRNA from 1 species